CAGUAGCUGGUUAAGCCGACUGUGCUCUUUCCCCACGGGGGCCCAGUGUGCCAAGGCUGCACCUCCUUAGUAGUGUAUGUAGCCUGCUGAUUGUACAGCUUGCCCGAAGUGACCUUGGAGACAGCA
rnacentral:snoRNA from 1 species